GUCUCUUCAGCAGUUGGACGUCUGUGCGUUGCAGAGUGAAGAUGUGCUUUGGAUGGGGAGGGGCAGAUGGUCAGUCUCAACACAGCUGCAUGGAUUGAACGCAGGCAGAUACAGGUGGCUCACUGAGAAUAAAAGGUGGCAAUGGCAAUGAAAAAAAAGAGCAGAGACGGACAGAUGUGUUGCUGCUUACCUUGAUGGAGAGGGUAUGUGAGAGCCUGGAACCGCUUCUUCCUCUGAUGUUUGAGAGUGACUGAGAA